GACGAACGCUGGCGGCGUGCUUAACACAUGCAGGUCGAACGGAAAGGCCCGGCUUUUGUGGGGUGCUCGAGUGGCGAACGGGUGAGUAACACGUGAGUAACCUGCCCUUGACUUUGGGAUAACUUCAGGAAACUGGGGCUAAUACCGGAUAGGAGCUCCUGCGGCAUGGUGGGGGUUGGAAAGUUUCGGCGGUUGGGGAUGGACUCGCGGCUUAUCAGCUUGUUGGUGGGGUAGUGGCUUACCAAGGCUUUGACGGGUAGCCGGCCUGAGAGGGUGACCGGCCACAUUGGGACUGAGAUACGGCCCAGACUCCUACGGGAGGCAGCAGUGGGGAAUAUUGCACAAUGGGCGGAAGCCUGAUGCAGCAACGCCGCGUGCGGGAUGACGGCCUUCGGGUUGUAAACCGCUUUCGCCUGUGACGAAGCGUGAGUGACGGUAAUGGGUAAAGAAGCACCGGCUAACUACGUG
rnacentral:rRNA from 1 species